rnacentral:rRNA from 7 species
CGUUCAGGGGUAAACCUGAGAAACCCGAAAGGUCGAACGGAGAGAUUCAUUCGCGGUUCGGGCGGUGAUCUAGAGCGUUGGGAAGACGUUACGUUCCUCGUGAGCGAGACGCCCCUUCGUCUCGGAUCCGCCGUCGAACGCGUGCACUUCUUUCCUAGUAGGACGUCGCGAUCCGUUGAGUGCCGGUCGAAGGGUCCGUAAGGAAGCCCGCGAACGCGAUGAAAAUCGUCGUUUGCGGACCUGCGGUCUCCUGUCCGGCCGCUCGACGGUGUACAGACGGUGAGAGACCGCGAUUUUCGCGCCUGGUCGGUCGCAAACGCGCUACGUGCGUCGGCUUUCGGUUUUACCGAUGAUGCCGGCCUCUAGCGGUUGUUGGCGAUCGUACUCUCGGGCAGAUCUCUUUUUAACCGAUCUGCGACGCUACAGCUUUGGGUACUCUCAGGGCCCGUCUUGAAACACGGACCAAGGAGUCCAGUGUGUACGCGAGUCAUUGGGUCCGACUAAACCUAAAGGCGUAAUGAAAGUAAAGAUCCGCAAGGAUCUAGGGAAGAUGACCGACCUUCUGGUCGGUCCGCACUCCCGGGGUGUCUCUAUCUUUUAUAGAUGAGGCGCACCAAGAGCGUACACGCUGGGACCCGAAAGAUGGUGAACUAUGCCCGGUCAGGACGAAGUCAGGGGAAACCCUGAUGGAGGUCCGUAGCGGUUCUGACGUGCAAAUCGAUCGUCUGAACUGGGUAUAGGGGCGAAAGACUAAUCGAACCAUC